rnacentral:rRNA from 1 species
AGAGUUUGAUCAUGGCUCAGAUUGAACGCUGGCGGCAUGCCUUACACAUGCAAGUCGAACGGCAGCACGGGAGCAAUCCUGGUGGCGAGUGGCGAACGGGUGAGUAAUAUAUCGGAACGUGCCCAGUCGUGGGGGAUAACGUAGCGAAAGCUACGCUAAUACCGCAUACGAUCUACGGAUGAAAGCGGGGGACUCGUAAGGGCUUCGCGCGAUUGGAGCGGCCGAUAUCAGAUUAGGUUGUUGGUGAGGUAAAAGCUCACCAAGCCUGCGAUCUGUAGCUGGUCUGAGAGGACGACCAGCCACACUGGAACUGAGACACGGUCCAGACUCCUACGGAAGGCAGCAGUGGGGAAUUUUGGACAAUGGACGCAAGUCUGAUCCAGCAAUGCCGCGUGCAGGACGAAGGCCUUCGGGUUGUAAACUGCUUUUGUACGGAACGAAACGGUCUUCUUUAAUACGGAGGGCUAAUGACGAUACCGUAAGAAUAGA